rnacentral:rRNA from 1 species
GAUGAACGCUGGCGGCGUGCCUAAUACAUGCAAGUCGAGCGAACAGACGAGGAGCUUGCUCCUCUGACGUUAGCGGCGGACGGGUGAGUAACACGUGGAUAACCUACCUAUAAGACUGGGAUAACUUCGGGAAACCGGAGCUAAUACCGGAUAAUAUAUUGAACCGCAUGGUUCAAUAGUGAAAGACGGUUUUGCUGUCACUUAUAGAUGGAUCCGCGCCGCAUUAGCUAGUUGGUAAGGUAACGGCUUACCAAGGCAACGAUGCGUAGCCGACCUGGGAGGGUGAACGGCCACACUGGAGCUGAGACACGGUCCAGACACCUACGGGAGGCAGCAGUAGGGAAUCUUCCGCAAUGGGCGAAAGCCUGACGGAGCAACGCCGCGUGAGUGAUGAAGGUCUUCGGAUCGUAAAACUCUGUUAUUAGGGAAGAACAAAUGUGUAAGUAACUAUGCACGUCUUGACGGUACCUAAUCAGAAAGCCACGGCUAACUACGUG